AUCGAUUGCUCUCCACCAAAAUCUGGAAAAGUUUCUCAUGCUCACCCAGGAGAGUCCCCUGACUGGAGAGGGCCUGUAGUAUUGGAGUGGAUUCCGUUCCAGAUCCUGCGGGGUUCAUAGUUGGCCAGUUCUACUGUUAGGACUCCGCGGGGAGAGACACAAAAGGAGAACCCGCUAUGCAGAAACACUGGGACGGAGACUUUGGGUGGAGUGUAACCAAGAGAGCUGGAUUUAUUAAGUCCACAAAAACAGGCAGGAGAAAGAAAAAAAAACUCUGAGCUGCGUAGGAAAAACCCGGGAGCAGCAGCUGAGAUGGAGGUUGGCUUGGACGUGGCAGGCAGGAUGGAGUGGAUGUGGAUCUCACUGAGAGUAUACGUAGAACUGGCGAAGUCUGAUGGUCGAACCGGGGUUUUAAGCAGCUGUAGGUGAGUGGUGUAAUCAGUGAUGAUGAGAAACAGGAGCGGAGGUGAGUUGAUGGAAAAACGGAAUGUAGGUCAACCACGCCCAUCCAGGAAAACAGACAGAUAGACAAACAAACAGAAAAAAGGAGGAGGAGAUACUGCAAUCCUCACACCAAUAUUUUCAACAGUGCUCAUAGUUUGUGUGUAUGUGUAGGACAAGUCCUUCAAGGCGUGUCAAAGAGGACCACGCAAAGGGGAUCAUCAACUUGUUCCCAUACCUGGCUGAUCCAAGGAGCAAGUUUGGUUAUGAAACAUUUUACAAUGCAGAAGAUGGGAGUGGGUAUCUGGCUUGGAGAUUGAAGUUUGUCCAAAAGGAAGCUUCUGAUGGACAAAAGAAGGCCAUGAGACUCAAGAACACAAAUGGGGAGCCCAUCAGCUGAAAGAGACUUGAGGGAGGACAAUCCCCUAAUGACAGACAGCUUGUGUUCUGAGGCCAUUGCACUGAUGAGGCAUACAGCUGAUGAAGGAAUUGUUAUGACGAAGAUGAAGCAGACCUUCAACUAUCGUCAAAAGAUCAUUCAUGAUCCAGUGAAGUCCUCUGAUGUCUUUCUGGCCUUCCCAAGAUUCCUGGACAUACAAGGAUUAAUUGAGCAAGAUUUUACUUUGAUGUUUGAUGACGCCAUCUCUGCAAAGUUCCUGGAGAAGUGGCCCACAAUUUACAAGCACAAAGUCCUUGAACAAAGCCGUGGUCUCACAGUCAGAUGAUCUGCAGUACCUCGUCCAGACUGCUGAAUCCACAACAGAAGUCGAAAGUGGAUGGGACAGUGACAUGUCGUCCAUUUUGAUCCUUGUGCACCUGCUGCCGCCGUCACCUCAAGGCCGAAAGAGACCAGGAAAGCUCUCCGCCAGACAAGCCAGUGAGAAUCUUGUGAAGUUCAUCAAGACAGGGACCAGCAUCCAGGGGCAUCUCGAUGGAAUCGCAGGCAGCCUUCAACCAUACCUGCUUGCUGUGGGAACUCAGAGGAAUGUGAUUCACAAGUACUUCAUUGACAAACAGGCAAUAUCUUGUAAGUCAUCUGGCUCUCCUGCUUGUUUUGAUGAGCUUUUCAAAGCUCACUUGGUCUUUGGCACUUCGUACAACCACGAUCUCGUCAAUGUGUACAACUUCCUUCAGUCAACCAUUUAUGAAAUCGAUAUUGAUACAACCAAGGUGAAUCCUAGAGUUGCAGAGUUGAGGCUCAGAUGCUGCGUUGAGUAGAUUUUUCUGAUUUGUUUUUCUGUGAGGGCUCCAUUACAGAAUUAAGGUAUUCUGAAAUGUUGUUUUUCAUUUGUAAGAGCUCUCAGACAAAUACUAAUUUAGUUGUAUGUGUUAAAAUUCAUUGUGACAUGCCAGUUUUUCAUAAGAUCCACCAUGCUGUUGUGAAGGAUGAGACAUUGUUUUUUGUUACUUUUGCACUACAAAACGGUGUCUAAUCGAGUAUUUUAAUGCAUUUCAAGUUUUGUACACAACAGACGGACUUCAUAUUGUGUUUGUCAACGAUCUUUUCUGUCACAAAGCAUUCGAUUUACAGGUGUCUUGCAGUCAUAAUGACUCCAGUUUUUAUAUUGUGCCAUACUGUUUCCUGUGAACACUUAAUAAAGUAAAGGUGUCACUUAA